rnacentral:rRNA from 1 species
GACGGAGGAUGCAAGUGUUAUCCGGAAUCACUGGGCGUAAAGCGUCUGUAGGUGGUUUAAUAAGUCAACUGUUAAAUCUUGAGGCUCAACUUCAAAAUCGCAGUCGAAACUAUUAGACUAGAGUAUAGUAGGGGUAAAGGGAAUUUCCGGUGGAGCGGUGAAAUGCGUAGAGAUCGGAAAGAACACCAACGGCGAAAGCACUCUGCUGGGCCGACACUGACACUGAGAGACGAAAGCUAGGGGAGCGAAUGGG